ensembl:snRNA U4 U4 spliceosomal RNA
AGCUUUGCACAGUGGCAGUAUCAUAAGCCAAUGAGGUUUAGCCGAGGUGCAAUUAUUGCUAAUUGAAAACUUUUCCCAAUACCCUGCCAUGACGACUUGAAAUAUAAUCAGCAUUGGCAAUUUUUGGCAGUCUCUACGGAGA